rnacentral:lncRNA from 1 species
GGUGGAGAAUCAUCAGGAAGUUGAAUAAAUCUCAUAGGAGUUGGGAUGAAGAAGUUAUCCCACUUUCAAAUCAGGGGAUUCCAGUUUCCCAGUUUGGGAAUAGCACAGCUUCUUCGUCGUUCCAAUCAAACCAGGAUGAAUCACUUUGUGAGAAGCUUGAUUUGGAUACAUAAAGUGGUGGAGAAUCAUCAGGAAGUUGAAUAAAUC